AGAUUGAACGCUGGCGGCAUGCUUUACACAUGCAAGUCGAACGGCAGCACGGGGGCAACCCUGGUGGCGAGUGGCGAACGGGUGAGUAAUGCAUCGGAAUCUGCCCUGAUGUGGGGGAUAACGUAGGGAAACUUACGCUAAUACCGCAUACGACCGAGAGGUGAAAGCGGGGGACCGAAAGGCCUCGCGCAGCAGGAUGAGCCGAUGUCCGAUUAGCUGGUUGGUGGGGUAACGGCCCACCAAGGCGACGAUCGGUAGCUGGUCUGAGAGGAUGAUCAGCCACACUGGGACUGAGACACGGCCCAGACUCCUACGGGAGGCAGC
rnacentral:rRNA from 1 species